rnacentral:rRNA from 1 species
CGCGUAGACGGCUUUUUAAGUCUGGAGUGAAAGUCCUGCUUUCAAGGUGGGAAUUGCUUUGGAGACUGGAAAGCUUGAGUGCGGAAGAGGUAAGUGGAAUUCCCAGUGUAGCGGUGAAAUGCGUAGAGAUUGGGAAGAACACCAGUGGCGAAGGCGACUUACUGGGCCGCAACUGACGUUGAUGCGCGAAAGCGUGGGGAGCGAACA